rnacentral:rRNA from 1 species
UGGGGAAUCUUGCACAAUGGGGGCAACCCUGAUGCAGCGACGCCGCGUGAGCGAUGAAGCCCUUCGGGGCGUAAAGCUCUUUCGACCGGAACGAUAAUGACGGUACCGGGAGAAGAAGCUGCGGCUAAUUACGUGCCAGCAGCCGCGGUCAUACGUAGGCAGCAAGCGUUGUUCGGAGUUACUAGGCGUAAAGAGUGCGUAGGCGGUUUUCUAAGUUCGGUGUGAAAUCUCCCGGCUUAACUGGGAGGGUGCGCCGAAGACUGGGAAUCUGGAGUGUGGGAAAGGCAGGCGGAAUUCCUGGUGUAGCGGUGAAAUGCGUAGAUAUCAGGAGGAACACCGGCGGUGUAGACGGCUUGCUAGACCAUAACUGACGCUGAGGCACGAAAGCUCGGGUAGCAAACA